UCCUGCCUCCCGGCCCCCCCCCACCUACCGCAGCGCUGAGGCGGCGCGGCGCUUCCCGCGCUCGAGCUGAGGGCGGAGGAGCGGCCGCCAUCUUGGAAGCGGCAUGGCGCUGUCCGAGCCUCCGUUCUCCCGCAGCGCCGGGGCUAGGCGAGCAGCUGGAGGCGGUGCUGAGUGGAAACCGCGGGCUCGGGCAGCUCUGAGAGGAUUUUGUUUUAUCCUCUGAGCUGUGUAACCGUGAAAAUGUAUUUCUGAGCUGAAGUUACAUCAUGUGUCAUUACCGUAAGAAUGUGGACUGCUGUAAGAAGUGCCCUGCAGAAGAGGAAGACUGGAGAUGUUAGCGAGCACCAGGGAUGACCUGCAGUGUGGGUUAUGCAAAUUGCUGCAGCCAGCAGGAGAAGGGCUGUUGUCUGUCUGCGGUGGCAAAAGCGAUGUUCUGCUUGAAACAAAACAGUGAUUUUCUCUCAUCUACACAUAAUGCUUCCUUCUCCUUCAUUUUUGCUCCCCAUUGUUGACAGAUGUUCCUCAUGCAGUAGUCAUAGAAAGAUACUUUCAGUUUGGUUGCUCUCUAGUGAACAGAUAUGAAGCUCUAUACCAGCUCUGUAAUGAAAAACAUCUUAAAUUAAAAUGAUUAUUGAUUUUUAAUCCAGCUUUGUGUUUUCAGUUGUCUUUGCAACAAAAGUUGGUGUGAUGCCAAUGUCUCUUUCCAUUGCAGAGCAGUGUAAAUAGUAAAUAGUUAAUUCUGCUUUGGCAUUUGGAUAAAAGAAGUGGUAAAUAAAAUGUUUGGAAGCAGGUUGUGCUUAUUUACUAAAACACAUUCCUGGAGCCUAGCAACAAAUGAAUAUUAAUGCUGGAAUUGAGUACUUUAUCUUUUGUAAUAUAAUUUAUUUUAUUAAUGAGUUAAUUAGUAGAAACUUAAGAAUGGAUUACCUAGUUGUAUUAGCAAAAGCAACUUGUUGUGAUAGGGCAAAGUGAAUGCAAAGUCAGCUAGCAGUGUUAUGCUCUUAAAAAUACUAAAAAUAACAAAGGUGUGCUGGGCUGUCAGCAUUAGCUUCAUCUAAACUAUUGAUGUUAUUACCGAGCAUUUAGUGAGAGUACUGCUAAUUAUUUUCCUCUUUUUUUUUUUUUUGGAAAAUAAAUGUUGCAGCAGGAGUUGAGAAGGCAAAAGUGCAAUGUGCUGAAGUUCAUUCCAAAAGCGAACAGUUAUAUUUAUCUAGGACAUAGUGAGUAAAGCAAUGAAGAAUGGUGGCAUAAUCCCAAUAAAACUGAGCAACAUACCAUGAUGGCAGUAGGAAAUUAAUCUUGUAAAAUAUUUUUCAAUGUCUUUCAGUAAGAACCUCACUCAGUAAAGACAUCUGGGUCAGAUUCUGUUACUAUCCUACUGAUUCAGACAAUCCUGGCUCCUUGUUAGCUUUUGCUUUACUGAGAAUGGCCUAUGAGUGCCUUCUAACUUCAAAGCAAUAAUCGCAGAUGAAUUAAUCAGGUAAAGAGAAUGAUCACCUGGAACAAGUUUGUUGUGUUGUAAUGCUAUUAAUGAUUUCAUCAAUGACCUAGAAAAAAAAAAAGAAGUAUAACUGCUAGUAAAACUAGUAGAUUUUUUUCAAGUGAAUUUGAUAUUGACUUUAAUAAUAAUUAAUCUCUGCAAUCCUAAUUAGUUGGUAAAUUAAAUGGUUGUCCACAUCACUUUGCAGCCAAAUGUGCUGAAGGUAAGAAUCCAACCUGGACCUUAAUUCUUCAGGGUGUGGAAACUGCUGGGAAGGAAAGGUCUGGUACUUGCCAGAGCAAAGUUAGUGACUUUGCACAGUUCUUUGCAAUGAAGCUUCCUCCAUGCUGAAAACUUCACAGUCAUAAUGGCCUGAUCGUAGUGCCAGGGAUGCAACAAACAUAUAUGUGCAGAGGGUAUGGGCUGCAGAUGGAGCCUUAGUCUCCAGCUCCAGGUGUUCAGAUCCAUUGUUAAGACCCAGACUGUGUUGGAAACAUCUGUUGGUACAGUGAUAGAAAUGCAUGUUUCUUUCUUUCUGUGUUAGCUGCAACUUAAGCACAGAUGUGCACAGAUUGUUCUGGUGUUUUUCUCCAUUCGAGCAAGUGAUGUGGUGUGUGAUUUUGGUGUGUGUUUAAUAUUCCCCAUCAUUUUUCCUCCCACUUCUGCUCUUUUUUUGCACUAUUUGUAGAAAUAACCACCUGAACUGCUGUCCUGUGACCUGCAGGUAACUCAAUACAAAGUGAGACAAGCCCUGAUUAGUAAGACUUGCUAAGUUGUCACGUUUUUAAUACCUGGUAAUUACCAUGUGAGAUUUUUUGCAGUAGUACAUACUGACCCCUCACUUGGCAGAAGUGAGCUGUUCUGACUCUUGAGGUGAAUUCUCCACUUUUGUGCAGUUUUUGUUUUGUAAUACUAACCCUGAGUCUUACCUCUGCUCUUCAUCCUUUGAAAAUCAUAAAAGUUGUAAAAAAUAUGAACAACUAUUAAUAAUACUAAGCUUAACAUUGUGAACAAUUUCAUUUCUUCUUUAGACUGAAUAUAAAAUCAAAUGUUGUAAGUUUAAAUGUCACAGACUUACUGUAAAAGGAAACUAGGGUAUUGUUUUUCCUCCUCAUCAGCUGAAUUUCACAGUAGGCCACAUCUGAGUGAUCACAGUUAAGAAAUCUAGCAUUAGAACAAGAAAGAUAUAUCACAGUCAAGUCUAUGUAAGCUUGCUUGUCUCUUUUAUGUGUUAUUUUCCUCUGUCUUUUAAUAUUACCUGUCUAUGAUAUGUGUAGCUGCAAAGCUGAUGAGUUGUAAAGUCAUCUGAAGCAUGAUUCUUCAUGUCUGACAGUGACAUAAUGCUGUGAUAUUUUAGUAUAUAUUGCAUAAAAAUUCAGAUGCAACCAAAGCAGGUUUUUUUAUCUUAAGAAUAUUAGAACUGAAAUACUGAAAUCCUAUCAUAUUUUUUGUCUUCUAAGUACAUCAAGGAAUGUUGGCACUGUAGCAGAGCAAGUAUAUUUGCCUAAUCAUUGCAAAUUUUAAAAUAAUGAAAAUAUUGAAAAUAGCAAAUUAUUAAAAUGAAUUAUCUUCCCUUACAGGAUAAUUUCAUUAUGUAUGAACUCUGACUUAGCCUCCAUCAAACAGCAUAGAGAAGGCUUGAUGUUUCUGAUUAGCCUGACUGACUCUCCCGGAAGUGUUGGUUUCUCCUUUUGAAGGUCCAGCAGCUUUCUGUCACUGAUGGUGCUCCUGUUGUGGUUGACUGUGUUUCAGUGUAUUAUUGAAGAGUCUGGUGGACAUAUAAUUACUGGAGCUGGCAAGCUUCAGCUAGAAGUUUGUCUUAAGAAUCUGGAAGAAGAUCAUGCUUUACUCCAAUUAAGGUAUUCAGCAAUUUUUGAGGACUGCAGUAUAUGGAAUAUGACUAGAUAUUAACCUUUGAAAAUAUAAAAUCUGCUGUUGCUGGUUUCCUUAAAGCAACUUCCUUAAAACAAUUUGAAACUUUUUAAAAGAGGAGAGCUGUAUAAGUAGUGACAGGAAUUUUUUAAUAUAUUAAUGAAAGAGCUUAGAAUUAGUAUGUAGAUUUGAAGAUGCAGCCAACAGGAAAACUAACUAGAAAUAAUGAUGGCAACCAUAGAUGUACUGCUGGAAAAGUUGUUUCUCUUGUUAGAGUUAGUAGAAUAGUCUGUGCAACCAAGAACACAUGGAGAGGAGAACACAAAAGAUAACACUUUUAUCUGAUACUGAUAUACAAUCCAUAAAAAGACCACUGUAGGAUAAAGGAGAUUAAGAAUUCUGAUUUUAUCAGCUCAAUGUUGUCUCUUCCCAUCUUCAGAUCAUUGUUUGAAGUUGACUGCUUUUCUGGCCCUCAACUCAUUGGCCUUUCCUGCCAGCAGAGGGUGCCAAAAGAACGUGUGGCAUCUGCAAAUUAAGACUCCAGUGUUGAACUGGCUCUGUACCCACUGUUUUGAAUUAAGGUCUUCCUCCGAAGCAGGUUGGAUAGAAGAACUUGUUUGUUGAGGCAGCAUGCAGGAUAAUUUGGUAUUUGUUUGAAUGUGUAAGAGAAGGAUGGAGAAUGGGCCUGAACAGAUUAGAUGGCUUUCCAUGUCCUCACCAGUCUUAUGGCUACCAUUGAAACAGCACGUGGCCCUUCCUGCAUUGCCACCAAACCACCGUAUGAGUGUGCUACAGAGCCCUUCCUCUGGCCUUGUUUUUUGUGUGUCUCUUUUUCCUUUCUCCCAGUUAUAAAAAUCUUCAAAAGCAUUCUGUAAUAGCAAAUGAAACAACUGAAUGCCUCUUUUUGUGUCCCUCCAAUCUAUUAGCUUCAGCUGAUGCUUCCUUCAUAUCAGAAAUGAGCAUGAACCAUUGAUCUUUAUGCGCUGGGUUGGUGUGGUUUUAUUUUCAGCCCCCAGCUGUAUCCUUCCUGAUACACUGCUGCCCCUUUCUUCGCAUCUUUGCAUGGAAGCUUUGACCAGAUGUGUUCUUCUUCUCUGAACCUUUUUUCAGUUCUGCAGAAACUGCUGCAGUAAAAAGAAAACCACAGCUACACUCAGCAUUCAAGGUGCAGGCUUUCACUGGUCAUGUUUUGUUUUCUGUGCCUUACCUUUGACUGCUUCUGGACAUGGAAUGCUCUUAUACUGCUUGCUGUAAUGCUAGGAUUUCACAGUGAGUGGUAGUGAUCAGGCCUUGUUACAUGUGAAAUACAAUCUACCUGUACAUUCUUUAAUCAUGCAAAUUGUCUUUCAUAUGCUAUUCUAUUGCCUGUUUUUUGGUCACACCAAGUCCUUCUGCAGUUUUGCAGAAUUGGUCUCAUUUUUACCUGCCUGAAAUAGUUGCUAGGAAAGUAGCAGUUUGCCAACACUGCCUUAUUCAGGUUCUGAUAGAGUUAGGGUGCAGAACUUCACAAUAAGCCGUAACUUUUCUACUGCAGAGCCAUCCCCUUCUUUUCUCUUUCCUUUCCCAUUAUGUUUUACCACUGACUUGAGAUCCUGCACUGGUGGCCAGGCUUUUCCACAGUGAACCUCUGAUCACUGCAGAUUUUGCCUGAAGGUCCUUAUGGUGCCAAUUCUUACUCAUGGCUGAAAGACGUAAGUGCACAGGCUUGAAGGAGGGCGUUCCACCUCCAGAUAACUUUGUAGAUUAGCUGUAGUCAUGUGUUUCAUGUGGAGGGACAUGCUGGAAUUGCCCUGGGACCCCCAGUCUCCACCCAAUAUUCUUGCAGGGCUAUUUACAUCAUGUAUACAUCCCUUCAGCCAGUUCAGCGAUCUCACACCUCACCUCACAAUUAAGACCACAAACAGCACCAUCAGUAAAGUUUUAAGCAGUUUAUUCACAAGGGCUCUCGAGCCUCCCCCCACUCCUAGCUCAUUUACUGUGCAAUUGUGAUGCAGAGAGCACCGACCAGCUGCAAGCCAUUAAAAAACACUUCAUGAGCAGCGUGGCUUUAUUAGAAAUAAAUCAUGCUAAAAACUGAUCCUUAACAGAUACAAAAAAUUAACAGGUAAGGAAAGGAGAAGAAAAUGGAUGUAAUAUUAAGACCAAUGGGUGAAUUGAGGAUUGGUGUGAAAGAUGAUACAAAAAAGGCAAUGACAAACAGCAGUGCGGCGUUAAAAAUGAGAGUACAGAGCAGACAAGAGGUACAGUACAUCCUGCUUCAACAUUUCUUAUCCAUAUGCUUAGUUCAAAUACUGUAACAGUACUGGAAGGCAAAAAAGCACCAGACAUUUGAUGAAAGAAAGAAAGCAUGAAACAAAAUUAGGGAAAAAUGAAUGCUGGAAGUAGGGAAAGAGUAAUCUCAAAUACAGUUACUCAACAGAGAAACAACACUUGGAAAAGUUGCUAUGUCAACAUAUACAGACAAUACCAUUAUUCCAGCAGUACGGAAAUGAUUUUCCUGGUCUGUAACCUCUUCCACGUACAGCACUGCCUGCGUUAUCCCCAGAAACGUGCCGGGCCAUGCCCCACACGCUGAACAAGGCAGCACAGCAGAAGAGGAGGUUAUUUCCAUCUGAUAACGCGGCCUUCUGGUCAUGGCAGUUCUAUGGUGGGACAAAGCAUCAUUCAGCCGUGAACGUAUGAGGGCUGCUCCAAAAGUAAUGCCUCCUAUUUCAUGUUGUCAGCCCACAAAGUCAGAGGCAGAUGAUGGUGGUACGGCAAGUAGAUGCUGAACUUUCUCAUCAAUAUUCCAUUUUGUCAUCAUGCAACAGAUGGCAGCAAAGGGGCAGUCCAACCGAAUAGCAUCUGACAUGGAAGUGUUUAUGAAGCAAAGAUGUGAAACUGAAUUCUUACAUGUUAAAAAAAAAAAGACACCCACUGAUGUUCAUUUAUGAGCACGGCUAGGGCACUAAUUCAUCACUGGUGAAAAUACAGAGCUAACUAACAGUAGUGAAUAGCUGAAAAAGUGUUUUGUAGCUGAGACUAUGCUCUAUUCAAAUAGCGUUACUGUGUCUUCAUAUCUGUUGUCAUUUCCAUGGAAAUAAUAGGAAGCAUUACUUUCAGAGCAACCUCCGUAGUUCGAGUCGAGUGGGAGCAGUAUGCAGCUCAGCUGUUUUGCUCCAAGAAAAAAUACUUACAACAUGGCAAGCCAGACUGCAGUAUGCCCUAGCAGAAUGCGGCCGUUGCAAAGGUGUGGGUAGAAAACAAUUCUGCACUGGAGAAAUCAGCAAUGUGCUCUCUCCUUACAAGUGUCAUAGAAAGCGGGCAGCUCACUGGCGCAUUAAGGGCAGAGCUGGUGGUGGCAAAGAAAGACACCAGGUACUUUAAAGCAAGGAAAAACUUUGUUAUCUUUUGAAGUUAUCAAAUCAGAACUCAGCUAUGUCCCAACUGUGCAUAGUUUGGGGGUUUUGGUGGUGGGAGAAGUGUCCCACUCUAACAUGGCAGCACAGAGAAGUUGUAUAAUGCAAGGUUUGCAUAGAUAGCUUGCCCAUCCCCAGCUCAAAAAACAUUAAGAAGUCACAGUUAGGAGUGUUAAGUUUGUGAAGAACAUGAAAUCUAAAGAAAAAAAACUCCACUUAUAGCCCCUUCCCAUCCAUCCCAGACAAGGGGAAAGUGGGGAUCACAAAACAUAAAAGUGAAGUCAUGGCUAUUUCACAAAGCUUCAUUGUCUUAAAUGAAGUUUAUUACCGGCCCCAGUGAAAAUAUUAAAAAUUCACCAUCUAUCUUUGCA